UUCCCUGUGGCUCAGAUGGUAAAGAAUCUGCCUGCAAAGCAGGAGACCUGGGUUCAACCCCUGGCUUGGGAG
rfam:Ovis aries breed Texel chromosome 5, whole genome shotgun sequence.